AGUGGUAAUAAACCAGAAAAGAAAAAAAAACCAGCUAAGUAAACCAAGGGACACUUUCCAGUUCCAAAGUGAAAAGAAAAUGUGGCCACAAUCCCAUGAAUUCUUUUUUCCUGGAAGUAAUUUUACUGGUUUGUGAGAUUUCUACGUGUAGAAUGGAAUCGGGCAGGUAAUGCCAGAUUGGAGACAUAAUUAAAAUUGUUGAACAAAUUCCACUGCAUCUUAAGUUUUGCUGAGAAGCUUGUACAGUGGGAACCAGAAAUUUCCAGUGAGAGCUUGUUUGGAGUUCAGCUGCCACUUUGCAGGAUAUUUAAGGGUGCCUAGGGAAGUGAGGCUGCUGGAGUAGGAUUGUAAAUUGUCUUAAACAGCUACAGCCAAGACUUCAAAAGUGCCAAACAUAAUUUAAAAGAAAUCACCAACCCUGUCCUUCUAGGGAGGAGAAGGCCAAACAUAUUUCUGGAUACACUGAAAUUGUAUUGGUGAGAAAUUUUGGAAGAGAAGAGGGAAGGAAAGGAAAGGGUAAAACAGCUAGGCUUGCAAUUUAAACCCAAUCCAGCUGGGGAGAAAAAAAAGAAGUUGUUUUGUUUGCUCAUUCUGAGAAUUCGGCUGUACUUCGGGAGAUGGCUUUGCAUAUCUGGGACCUCGAAGCAGCUUGUCAGCACCAGCCUAGACCAGUUUCAACAAUAUGUUGGGCCAAGAGGAGACAGAAAUGCCAUUGGUCAGAAGGAUAGAGAGGAACCUCUCUACAUUUUGCAAAGGAGAAAAAUGCAGCCAAAUAAUGACAAACAAGAGGAGAGGAGAGGAGAGGAGAGGAGAGGAGAGGAGAGGAGAGGAGAAGAGAAGAGAAGAGAAGAGAAGAGAAGAGAAGAGAAGAGAAGAGAAGAGAAGAGAAGAGAAUAAUAGAGUUGGAAAGGACUUUGGAAAUCUUCUAGUCCAACCCCCUACCUAUCUGAACCCUACACCACUUCAGAUAAAUGGUUAUCUAACUUCUUCUUAAAAACUUCCAGUGUUGGAGCAUUCACAACUUCUGGAGGCAAGUUCUUUCACUGAUUAAUCGUUCUAACUGUCAGGAAAUUUCUCCUUAGUUCUAAGUUGCUUCUUUCCUUGAUUAGUUUCCACCCAUUGCUUCUUGUCUUGCCCUUAGGUGCUUUGAAGAAUAGCUUUACUUCCUCUUCUUUGUGGCAGCCCUUGAGAUAUUGGAACAUUUCUAUGUCAUGUCAACCCAAGUCCUUCUUUUCAUUAAACUAGACACACCCAGUUCCUGCAACUGUUCUUCAUAUGUUUUAGCCUCCAGUCCCUUAAUCAUCUUUGUUGCUCUUCUCUGCACUCUUUCUAGACUCUAGAGUUUAGAAUGGAUCCUCCAAUGCUCUACCUUCCUCUGAGAACAGGAAUUCUGGUGUUUCCCAAUGAAAAAGUUAAAACAUUGCACACUGAUUGAAACUCAAAUACUGUAUAUACUCAUGAGUAUAUACUCAUGGAUAAACCCAUGUGUUAGCAACCAUUCAUUUGGUGAUCGUUCAGAGUUACAGUGGCACUGAACGAGGAGACUCAUGGCUGGUCCUUGAAAUUUCAGCUGUUGCAUUUUAAGAACUUGGCAACCGGUUGGUAAUUGUGACAGUUGUAAGACCCUGUGGUCAUGUGAUCCCAUGACCUUCACUGCAGGUUUCCGACAAGCAAAGUCAAUGGGGAAGCCAGUGGGAGAUUGCAAAUAGCAAUCAGAUGACUUUGCACCUAAUGUACUGAAUGUGCAGGGCUGGUCUAACAACUACAACUGGAAUUGCUGCUGUAAGUUUGUAUGAUGACAUAGUGUCGUGCUUUAUGACUAUCACCUAAGCAAUGGAGUUCAUUUUAAUUAUUUAUUUAUUUAUUUAUUUGUCACAACAGUAUAUAUAUGCAUAAGCAUGAAAUAACUAUAUGAUAUAGUUAUUGGCGACCUCCCAUCAACCAGUGCGCUCCCAUAGGGAGGUUCUCCUCAGGGUGCCGUCGGCCAGUUAAUGUCGGCUGGCGGCGCCCAGGGGGAGGGCCUCCUCUCUGGGGGCACCAACCCUCUGGAACAAGUUACCACCAGGUAUCCGUCAACUCCCUGAUCUUCGGACCUUUCGACGCGGGCUGAAAACAUUUUUGUUUCACCAUGCAGGACUGGCCUAGUGGGGUUUUAAUGAGGGGUUUUAUUGGUUUUAAGUUAUUCAACCAACUCUAAAUUUUCCUUUUAAACUGGUCUUAAAAAUUGUACUAACUGUCUUUACUUUGACUGUAAACUGCCCUGAGUCCUUUGGGAGAAGGGCAGUAUAGAAAUUGAAACAAUAAAUAAAUAAAUAAAAUAUAAGCGUAUAUAUAAGCAUAAGUAUGUAAUAACUAUAAGAAAUUGGAUACAAUCAAAGGGAACAUUAGGACAGGAACGGUAGGCACGUUGGUGCUCUUAUGCACGCCCCUUACAGACCUCUUAGGAAUGGGGUGAGGUCAAUAGUAGAUAGUUUUUGGUUAAAGCUUUGGGGAUUUUGGGAAGAGACCACAGAGUCUGGUAGUGCAUUCCAGGCAUUAACAACUCUUACGGAAGUCAUAUUUUCUGCAAUCAAGAUUGGAGUGGUUCACAUUAAGCCUAAAUCUAUUUAAAUCUAGUUCCUAGCCCUAAUUGCUCUUCUUAAGCAAGGACUAUCUGUAUUUGUGAAUAAACCCAUCAGUGAAUAAGCUGAAAUUGGUAUUUUUAAGUGCAUUUUGGCAGCUAAAAUUCUGUUUUUCCACAAAUAAAUACGGUACCUGUUUUGUUUUUUUAAGUUUCCUGGAGCCUCGAAGACUCACU